rnacentral:rRNA from 1 species
GAUGAACGCUAGCGGCAGGCUUAACACAUGCAAGUCGAGGGGUAUUGGUUUUCGGACCAAGAGACCGGCGCACGGGUGCGUAACGCGUAUGCAAUCUACCUUUUGCAGAGGGAUAGCCCCAGAGAAAUUUGGAUUAAUACCUCAUAGUAUAGUACUUUGGCAUCAAGGAACUAUUAAAGUCACAACGGCAAAAGAUGAGCAUGCGUCCCAUUAGCUAGUUGGUAAGGUAACGGCUUACCAAGGCUACGAUGGGUAGGGGUUCUGAGAGGAGAUCCCCCACACUGGUACUGAGACACGGACCAGACUCCUACGGGAGGCAGCAGUGAGGGAAUAUUGGACAAUGGGCGCAGCCUGAUCCAGCCAUGCCGCGUGCAGGAU